UACGUAGGGUGCGAGCGUUAAUCGGAAUUACUGGGCGUAAAGCGUGCGCAGGCGGUUUUGUAAGCCAGAUGUGAAAUCCCCGGGCUUAACCUGGGAAUGGCAUUUGGGACUGCAAGGCUCGAGUGCGGCAGAGGAGACUGGAAUUCCUGGUGUAGCAGUGAAAUGCGUAGAUAUCUGAAGGAACAUCAGUGGCGAAAGCGACUUCCUGGACCAAUACUGACGCUCAUGUGCGAAAGCGUGGGGAGCAAACAGG
rnacentral:rRNA from 1 species